rnacentral:rRNA from 1 species
UUUCUAGAGAUAGAAAGUUACUUCGGUACAUCGGUGACAGGUGGUGCAUGGUUGUCGUCAGCUCGUGUCGUGAGAUGUUGGGUUAAGUCCCGCAACGAGCGCAACCCCUAUUGUUAGUUGCCAUCAUUCAGUUGGGCACUCUAGCGAGACUGCCGGUAAUAAACCGGAGGAAGGUGGGGAUGACGUCAAAUCAUCAUGCCCCUUAUGACCUGGGCUACACACGUGCUACAAUGGUUGGUACAACGAGUUGCGAGUCGGUGACGGCAAGCUAAUCUCUUAAAGCCAAUCUCAGUUCGGAUUGUAGGCUGCAACUCGCCUACAUGAAGUCGGAAUCGCUAGUAAUCGCGGAUCAGCACGCCGCGGUGAAUACGUUCCCGGGCCUUGUACACACCGCCCGUCACACCACGAGAGUUUGUAACACCCGAAGUCGGUGAGGUAACCUUUUGGAGCCAGCCGCCUAAGGUGGGAUAGAUGAUUGGGGUGAAGUCGUAACAAGGUA